UACGUAGGUGGCAAGCGUUGUCCGGAUUUACUGGGCGUGAAGAGCGCGCAGGCGGUCGCUCAAGUCGCGUGUGAAAGCCCCCGGCUCAACUGGGGAGGGUCACGCGAUACUGAUCGACUCGAAGGCAGGAGAGGGUAGUGGAAUUCCCGGUGUAGUGGUGAAAUGCGUAGAUAUCGGGAGGAACACCAGUGGCGAAGGCGACUACCUGGCCUGUUUCUUGACGCUGAGGCGCGAAAGCUAGGGGAGCAAACGGG
rnacentral:rRNA from 1 species